CAAGUCUGGUGCCAGCAGCCGCGGUAAUUCCAG
rnacentral:ncRNA from 2 species